UUCUUUCGUGGGCAGGUUAUCUGGAAGUCAUGGAUGGUUUCUCUCCGCCCAGACCAAGAAAAAAUGCUCCCAAGAGAGUCAACUCCACAGCUGCUCCCAAGAUGUCAGUGAGCUGAGGGCCUGACCAGCAUACCUGUCCUGCAUCUUUCCAGGAGAGGCAUAACCUUGCCAGCAGAAUAAUACAGUGUCAAGCUUGUGGAAUGCCUAUAGGAAGAAAAGUCAUGGGAAAAACCUGGCAGAUACAGAAAGUGUUUGGGAAAGAAGUAUUGGAUUAUUCCUUGAAUCUGUGUCAGGGAAAAUUUGAUUUGUUAGUUCGCAUGCCUGAUAACAUAAUCCUACAGAUCUUCUCCUUUCUUGAUUUGGAUGACAUUGGGCAGCUGUCAAAAACCUGCAAAAAAUUCCAAAAGCUGUGUAGCAAUGAAGAAUUCUGGGAGAAAUUUAGAACUUCACAAGAUAAACAUGCUUUUGAUACAAAGAAAAUAGGAAUAACCAUUUACAAGAAGAAACUGCUAGCUUUCCACCAAAAUGCAGCCAGCAGAAGCUCACAUGGAGAGAAGACAGAGAGCAUUUUUCUAAACUGAAGUGACAAAAUUUUAACAAGAUUAAAAUAGAAUUUUCAUAUAAAAUUACUAUCAUUAGAUCUUAUCACAGAGACUAGGUUGAAGCUAUUAUCUGGUAGAUUUAAGUAGGAAAAUAAAAAACUCUUGACUCAAUUUUCUCUUUCUUUACUGCUAUCAACCUAUUAACAGAUCAAGUGAAUCAAAUACCUACUUAACCUCACACACGUCUUAAUUUUAAAGAUGGGAAGAGCAGCAUAGGAAGCAAAGCUGUUCACAGCACAGAUGACUCUUAUCUCUUCACUGGUGAAGGUGGACGCCAAUGGGGGUUCAUGAUAGAGAAGAAAAUAAAUACUACCUCAUAAUGAGAAGGGGGA